rnacentral:tRNA from 1 species
GCCCUCGUAGCUCAAUCGGAUAGAGCGUUCGCCUCCUAAGUGAAAGGCUUCCGGUUCGAUUCCGGACGAGGGUA